rnacentral:sRNA from 1 species
ACUGCAACCUCUGCCUCCCAGGCUCAAGCGAUUCUCAUGCCUCAGCCUCCCAAAGUAGCUGGGACUACAGGCGUGUGCCACCACACCUGGCUAUUUUUAUUUUUAUUUUUUUUGUAUUUUUAGUAGAGAUGGGGUUUUGCCUCGUUGCCCAGGCUGGUCUCAAACUCCUGAGCUCAGGCAAUCCACCCGCCUUGGCCUCCCAAAGUGCUAGAAUUACAGGCAUGAGCCACCGCUUUUUUUUUUUGAGACAGAGUUUUGCUCUGUUGCCCAGCCUGGAGUGCAGUGGUGCGAUCUAGGCUUUGAGCCUGCUCUCAGGCUCAUAGGCCAUUCUGAAGAGACAAACAUACAACUAGGCUGCUGUAGUAGAGUAGAUGUUGUUAGAAGUUUAUAACCCUGGCUGAGGAGGAAGUGAGCAACCCUGGCUGGGGUCUUCAGAAAAGAAUUCCCAAAGUCUGCUGAGAACAGAUCCAGUCCCUGAGGAAGGAGAAGAUGUUGCUGCCACGAUCAGUGCCACAGAGACCCUCUCGGAAGAGGAGCAGGAAGAGCUAAGAAGAGAACUUGCAAAGGUA